GUCCACGCCGUAAACGAUGAUCACUCGCUGUUAGCGAUACACAGUUAGCGGCUAAGCAAAAGCAUUAAGUGAUCCACCUGGGGGAGUACGGCCGCAAGGCUGAAACUCAAAGGAAUUGACGGGGGGCCCGCACAAGCGGAGGAACAUGUGGUUUAAUUCGAUGAUACGCGAGGAACCUUACCUGGGCUUAAAUGUAGAGUGCAUUUCGCUGAAAAGCGGAUUUCCUUCGGGACUCUUUACAAGGUGCUGCAUGGUUGUCGU
rnacentral:rRNA from 1 species